UACGUAGGGUCCAAGCGUUGUCCGGAUUUAUUGGGCGUAAAGAGCUCGUAGGCGGUUCGGUAAGUCGGAUGUGAAAACUCAGGCUCAACCCGGAGACGCCAUCCGAUACUGCUGUGACUUAGUCUGGUAGGGGAACACGGAAUACCUGGUGUAGCGGUGAAAUGCGUAGAUAUCGGAAGGAACACCAGUGGCGAAGGCGACUUCCUGGCUCAUUACUGACACUGAGGCGCGAAAGCGUGGGGAGCGAACAGG
rnacentral:rRNA from 1 species